rnacentral:rRNA from 1 species
UACAGAGGGUGCAAGCGUUAAUCGGAGUUACUGGGCGUAAAGGGCGCGUAGGUUGUUGCGUAAGUUGACUGUGAAAGCCCUGGGCUUAACCUGGGAAUUGCAAGCAGAACUGCGUAACUAGAGUACUGUAGAGGGUAGUGGAAUUUCCGGUGUAGCGGUGAAAUGCGUAGAGAUCGGAAGGAACACCAGUGGCGAAGGCGGCUACCUGGACAGAUACUGACACUGAGGCGCGAGAGCGUGGGGAGCAAACAGG